rnacentral:rRNA from 1 species
AUGACGGUUCAUAGAUGUUGCAAGUGGCACAUACUGAAGAUUGCAAAGGAAAAACUUGGUAUGUUGUUCAGGACCCGGGAUGGUUUUGAAGAGGAAUUCUAUCAUUGUGUUAACGUGACUGACACGGUUGAGGAAUUUGAGAAAGCAUGGCAGGAGAUGGUGUUGAAGCAUGAUUUGGUCCAGCACACUCAUGUAAAUAACAUGUGGAGCUGCAGGGACACAUGGGCACCAGUGUACUCCAACAAAAACUUCUUCCCGUUCACUGGAACAACGGGUAGGUCUGAGGGAUUGAACUCGUUCUUCAAGAAGCUUGUACACCCACAUGACUUAGUUUGGCAGUUUGUCAAGUAG